GCGGCAACAGCUCAAUUUGAAAUCUGGCCCCCAGGGUCCGAGUUGUAAUUUGCAGAGGAUGCUUUGGGCGAGGUGCCUUCCGAGUUCCCUGGAACGGGACGCCACAGAGGGUGAGAGCCCCGUCUGGUCGGACGCCGAGCCUGUGUAAAGCUCCUUCGACGAGUCGAGUAGUUUGGGAAUGCUGCUCAAAAUGGGAGGUAUAUGUCUUCUAAAGCUAAAUAUUGGCCAGAGACCGAUAGCGCACAAGUAGAGUGAUCGAAAGAUGAAAAGCACUUUGAAAAGAGGGUUAAAGAGUACGUGAAAUUGUUGAAAGGGAAGCGCCCAUGACCAGACUUGGGCCCGGUGAAUCACCCAGCGUUCUCGCUGGUGCACUUUGCCGGGCACAGGCCAGCAUCGGUUUGGCGCGGGGGACAAAGGCUUCGGGAACGUGGCUCCCUCGGGAGUGUUAUAGCCCGCUGCGCAAUACCCUGCGCCGGACUGAGGUACGCGCAUCGCAAGGAUGCUGGCGUAAUGGUCAUCAGCGACCCGUCUUGAAACACGGACCAAGGAGUCGUCUUCGUAUGCGAGUGUUCGGGUGUCAAACCCCUACGCGGAAUGAAAGUGAACGCAGGUGAGAGCUUCGGCGCAUCAUCGACCGAUCCUGAUGUUCUCGGAUGGAUUUGAGUAGGAGCAUACGGGGCCGGACCCGAAAGAAGGUGAACUAUGCCUGUAUAGGGUGAAGCCAGAGGAAACUCUGGUGGAGGCUCGCAGCGGUUCUGACGUGCGAAUCGAUCGUCAAAUAUGGGCAUGGGGGCGAAAGACUAAUCGAACCUUCUAGUAGCUGGUUUCCGCCGAAGUUUC
rnacentral:rRNA from 1 species